GGGGUGCUCGAGUGGCGAACGGGUGAGUAACACGUGAGUAACCCGCCCUUGACUUUGGGAUAACUUCAGGAAACUGGGGCUAAUACCGGAUAGGAGCUCCUGCUGCAUGGUGGGGGUUGGAAAGUUUCGGCGGUUGGGGAUGGACUCGCGGCUUAUCAGCUUGUUGGUGGGGUAAUGGCUUACCAAGGCUUUGACGGGUAGCCGGCCUGAGAGGGUGACCGGCCACAUUGGGACUGAGAUACGGCCCAG
rnacentral:rRNA from 1 species